CAGGGAGCGCACUCAUCUGCACCGUGGCCCUGGGCUGCUGGGAAGUGACCAGCUCUCCUGCUGGCUUCAGAAAUUAGCUCUGGAGACCUGGACAGCUCCCACCGCACAGGACUCCACGGAGCCUGAAGGCAAUCUGAAGAGCCGAUUUACGAGCCUGCAAAGCUGGGGGAAGGAAGGAACCUGAAGAUCUUGAAGUUUAUCGGUUCAGCUGCCCGUCUGUGUGGGGUGGUCCUGUGGCUUCAUGAUUAGACCUACAAAUUCAAUGUCAGCCAGGAGUCCGUGGCUGCCCUCCUUUGCUCUCAAUGAAGAAUGACCUGCGUCUGAGUGUCACCUUCCCAGAGCUUAGAUCUCCUGGCGAGCGGCCUCUGCCCCACAUUAUAGCAUCCAUGCAGUGCAGAGCUACCUCCCAGUGAGAAUGGGGCUGCCGGGCAAAGGAGACCAGAGGUCCUGCACCAGCCGUAUCUGUGACCACGUGGAGGCAGAAGGAAGAAUCAUAGAACUGACGUUGCAAACCACCAAGCACUGCCAUCUUGGAGGAGCCUGGAGAAGAGAUCAGGAUUUGGAUCAGUAAAUUUUGGCCAUUCCUCUUUCCCGGAGCCAGAGUGACAAGGACCCAAGGCAAGCUCUCACACUGAGUUUAAUGACUUUGCUGGAGGUCACUUUGGGGGGAAAGUUUCAAAGGCAACCCACAAAGCAAUGAAAGGCGACCCAGAGCUGGGUGA